rnacentral:rRNA from 1 species
UGGCAAUCGGCAGCUACACAUGCAGUCGAGGGGUAGGGGGUGCUUGCACCCCUGAGACCGGCGCACGGGUGCGGAACGCGUAUGGAACCUGCCCCUGUCAGGGGAAUAGCCCAGGGAAACUUGGAUUAAUGCCCCAUGGUAUCAUUACAUCGCAUGAUGUUGUGAUUAAAGAUUUAUCGGACAGGGAUGGCCAUGCGUACCAUUAGCUUGAUGGUGGGGUAACGGCCCACCAUGGCAACGAUGGUUAGGGGCCCUGAGAGGGGGAUCCCCCACACUGGUACUGAGACACGGACCAGACUCCUACGGGAGGCAGCAGUGAGGAAUAUUGGACAAUGGUCGGAAGACUGAUCCAGCCAUGCCGCGUGCAGGAUGACGGCCCUAUGGGUUGUAAACUGCUUUUAUACGGGAAGAAACCCACCUACGUGUAGGUGGCUGACGGUACCGUAAGAAUAAGGACCGGCUAACUCCGUGCCAGCAGCCGCGGUAAUACGGAGGGUCCGAGCGUUAUCCGGAAUCAUUGGGUUUAAAGGGUCCGUAGGCGGGCCUGUAAGUCAGGGGUGAAAGUUUGUGGCUCAACCAUAAAAUUGCCUUUGAUACUGCAGGUCUUGAGUCAUGGUGGGGUUGCCGGAACAUGUGGUGUAGCGGUGAAAUGCAUAGAUAUCACAUAGAACACCGAUCGCGAAGGCAGGUGACCAACCAUGUACUGACGC